CAAUCCAUGAGUAUAGCUGGCGACCGGGUGAGUAACACGUGACUACCUGCCCUUGAGUGGGGGAUAACCUCGGGAAACCGAGGCUAAUACCGCAUAAAAUCGAAAGAUCAAAGGAGUAAUCCGCUUUUGGAGGGGGUCGCGGCUGAUUAGCUAGUUGGUAAGGUAAUGGCUUACCAAGGCGAAGAUCGGUAUCCGGCCUGAGAGGGCGCACGGACACACUGGAACUGAAACACGGUCCAGACUCCUACGGGAGGCAGCAGUGGGGAAUUUUGCGCAAUGGGGGAAACCCUGACGCAGCAACGCCGCGUGGAGGAUGAAGCCCCUUGGGGCGUAAACUCCUUUCGACUGGGAAGAUUAUGACGGUACCAGUGGAAGAAGCACCGGCUAACUCUGUGCCAGCAGCCGCGGUAAUACAGAGGGUGCGA
rnacentral:rRNA from 1 species